CUACGGGGGGCUGCAGUGGGGAAUAUUGCACAAUGGGCGCAAGCCUGAUGCAGCCAUGCCGCGUGUAUGAAGAAGGCCUUCGGGUUGUAAAGUACUUUCAGCGGGGAGGAAGGGAGUAAAGUUAAUACCUUUGCUCAUUGACGUUACCCGCAGAAGAAGCACCGGCUAACUCCGUGCCAGCAGCCGCGGUAAUACGGAGGGUGCAAGCGUUAAUCGGAAUUACUGGGCGUAAAGCGCACGCAGGCGGUUUGUUAAGUCAGAUGUGAAAUCCCCGGGCUCAACCUGGGAACUGCAUCUGAUACUGGCAAGCUAGAGUCUCGUAGAGGGGGGUAGAAUUCCAGGUGUAGCGGUGGAAUGCGUAGAGAUCUGGAGGAAUACCGGUGGCGAAGGCGGCCCCCUGGACGAAGACUGACGCUCAGGUGCGAAAGCGUGGGGAGCAAACAGGAUUAGAUACCCCAGUAGUC
rnacentral:rRNA from 1 species